rnacentral:rRNA from 1 species
ACAGGGAUUGCCUCAGUAACGGCGAGUGAAGCGGCAACAGCUCAAAUUUGAAAUCUGGCUCCUUCGGGGUCCGAGUUGUAAUUUGCAGAGGAUGCGUCGGGUACGGGUCCCUACCGAGUUCCCUGGAACGGGACGCCAUAGAGGGUGAGAGCCCCGUCUGGUAGGAUACCCAGCCCAUGUGACGCUCCCUCGACGAGUCGAGUAGUUUGGGAAUGCUGCUCUAACGGGAGGUAUACUCCUUCCAAAGCUAAAUACCGGCUGGAGACCGAUAGCGCACAAGUAGAGUGAUCGAAAGAUGAAAAGCACUUUGAAAAGAGAGUCAAACAGCACGUGAAAUUGUUAAAAGGGAAGCACUCGCUACCAGACUUGGGUUUGGCGGUUCAACCGGGGCCACGCCCCGGGGCAUUCCGCCAGCUCAGGCCAGCAUCAGCUUUCCGUCGGGGGCAAAGACGUCGGGAAUGUGGCUCCCCCUCGGGGGAGUGUUAUAGCCCGGCGUGUCAUACCCUUCGGGGGGCUGAGGUACGCGCUUCUGCAAGGAUGCUGGCGUAAUGGUAGCUAGUGACCCGUCUUGAAACACGGACCAAGGAGUCAACCUUAUGUGCGAGUGCCCGGGCGUAAAACCCCAGCGCGGAAUGAAAGUGAACGUAGGUGAGAGCUUCGGCGCAUCACCGACCGAUCCUGAUGUCCUCGGACGGAUUUGAGUGAGAGCAUAUAGGGUUGGACCCGAAAGAAGAUGAACUAUGCGUGUGUAGGGUGAAGCCAGAGGAAACUCUGGUGGAGGCUCGCAGCGGUUCUGACGUGCAAAUCGAUC